rnacentral:rRNA from 1 species
AGCGAACGCUGGCGGCAGGCCUAACACAUGCAAGUCGAACGGAACCUUCGGGAUUAGUGGCGGACGGGUGAGUAACACGUGGGAACGAGCCCUUUGGUUCGGAACAACUCAGGGAAACUUGAGCUAAUACCGGAUGUGCCCUUCGGGGGAAAGAUUUGGCGCGAUUGGAGCGGCGCGCGUCUGAUUAGCUUGUUGGUGGGGUAACGGCGUACCAAGGCGUUGAUGGGUAGCUGGUCUGAGAGGAAGACCGGCCACAUUGGGACUGAGAUACGGCCCAGACUCCUACGGGAGGCAGCAGUGGGGAAUAUUGCACAAUGGGCGGAAGCCUGAUGCAGCAACGCCGCGUGCGGGAGGACGGCCUUCGGGUUGUAAACCGCUUUCGCCUGUGACGAAGCGUGAGUGACGGUAAUGGGUAAAGAAGCACCGGCUAACUACGUG